rnacentral:rRNA from 1 species
AUGCACGCUGGCGGCGUGCCUAAUACAUGCAAGUCGAGCGAACGGACGAGAAGCUUGCUUCUCUGAUGUUAGCGGCGGACGGGUGAGUAACACGUGGAUAACCUACCUAUAAGACUGGGAUAACUUCGGGAAACCGGAGCUAAUACCGGAUAAUAUUUUGAACCGCAUGGUUCAAAAGUGAAAGACGGUCUUGCUGUCACUUAUAGAUGGAUCCGCGCUGCAUUAGCUAGUUGGUAAGGUAACGGCUUACCAAGGCAACGAUGCAUAGCCGACCUGAGAGGGUGAUCGGCCACACUGGAACUGAGACACGGUCCAGACUCCUACGGGAGGCAGCAGUAGGGAAUCUUCCGCAAUGGGCGAAAGCCUGACGGAGCAACGCCGCGUGAGUGAUAAAGGUCUUCGGAUCGUAAAACUCUGUUAUUAGGGAAGAACAUAUGUGUAAGUAACUGUGCACAUCUUGACGGUACCUAAUCAGAAAGCCACGGCUAACUACGUG